rnacentral:sRNA from 1 species
GGCGGCGUCUACGUCAGCCCGAUGUUCCUCUACGCGCUGCUCGCCCUGGCCCUGACCAUCGCGCUGCGCAAGCUGCUGCAGGCCACGCCGGCGGGGCGCUGGAUCUGGCACGAGGCGCUGUUCGACUGCGCCCUG